rnacentral:rRNA from 1 species
CCUACGGGUGGCUGCAGUGGGGAAUAUUGGACAAUGGGGGCAACCCUGAUCCAGCCAUGCCGCGUGUGUGAAGAAGGCCCUCGGGUUGUAAAGCACUUUCAGUGAGGAAGAACGCCUGGUGGUUAAUACCCAUCAGGAAAGACAUCACUCACAGAAGAAGCACCGGCUAACUCCGUGCCAGCAGCCGCGGUAAUACGGAGGGUUCGAGCGUUAAUCGGAAUUACUGGGCGUAAAGCGCGCGUAGGUGGCUUGAUAAGCCGGUUGUGAAAGCCCCGGGCUCAACCUGGGAACGGCAUCCGGAACUGUCAAGCUAGAGUGCAGGAGAGGAAGGUAGAAUUCCCGGUGUAGCGGUGAAAUGCGUAGAGAUCGGGAGGAAUACCAGUGGCGAAGGCGGCCUUCUGGACUGACACUGACACUGAGGUGCGAAAGCGUGGGUAGCAAACAGGAUUAGAUACCCUAGUAGUC